rnacentral:rRNA from 1 species
CCAACCUGCCCAGUGAACUCGCUUUUAACGGCCGCGGUAUCCUAACCGUGCGAAGGUAGCAUAAUCAUUUGUCUCUUAAAUAGAGACUAGUAUGAACGGUUAAAUGAGGGCUUAACUGUCUCCUAUAGCCAAUCAAUGAAAUUGAUCUCACAGUACAAACGCUGUGAUACAACUAUAAGACGAAAAGACCCUGUGGAGCUUUAAAUUUCUACAUUAACUAAAACAUACUAGUAUAAUGUAAAUUUUAAGUUGGGGCGACUAUGGAGUAAAAUAAAACCUCCACGCAAGACGACUAACCCCCGUCGCACAAAGGCCAACAAGCCAAACUAAUAACACAUGAUCCAGUCAAACUGACCACCGAACCAAGUUACCCCAGGGAUAACAGCGCCAUCCCCUUAAAGAGUCCCCAUCGAUAGGGGGGUUUACGACCUCGAUGUUGGAUCAGGACACCCAAGUGGUGCAACAGCUACUAAAGGUUCGUUUGUUCAACGAGUAACGUCCUACGUGAUCUGAGUU